UUUUUUAAAUUCACCUUUAAAUUAGAAGCGCUUUCACUCGGACAUCAAUGAAUUUCCGCCUUUCCAUUUUUCAUCGCUUCGAGCCGAAGCUGAAUCGUUCCCGUUUUUAAAACAUAUAUAUGUAUACACGGAAAAGCGCGAUGCAACGUGAACGGAGCUAUAAACACGAACGCGAAGAUUGCGAGGAUUCGCUUGUCAAUUUUCCGCAGCGGAACCGCCCAGUUCCUCGCUUAACCCGAUUUGGAAAGUCGUCCGCGGUCCAAAUUACCGUAGAAUCCACCUCGUUCCUGCGUACCGAGGAUGCGAAGUGUCCUCCCCGGUCCCGGAAGGCCCUAGGAUUCGUCUGCCAAUGUGCGCGACUCGCUCCCGACAACCCUACGGCGGCGCGCAUCGUGAUUCCAACAGGGACCAUCCGCAUCCCGCGGUACAGCCACCCCAUCCCAUCCCUUAUCCGUUCUAUUCACCUGCCCCGUACCCGUCACGUUGCCCUCCGUACGAUCCGUACGCGGCGUACCACUGCCCGGGUACGUCGUUCUAUCCGGCGCCCAGCUACUGCGCUCAGCAGAACGACGUUGCUAAGGAGGAGCAGCCCGCGGUUUGGUCCUGGUACACCGUCGCAAUUCUCACCAUUCUCGCGAUCGGUUUACUCGUGAUCGUCUACCGUAUAAGCUUCUCCCGCGAGACUCGCCGAAAGAUCGCCACUUGGUUGCGCUCGCCCAGGCUCGCGCCACAGGGCUCUAAUCGCGGGGACUGAGUCCCCGUAAAAGGGAUCGAUUCCCGCGUGCGACGAACCUGCCCUGACCUCUCUGUCCGUCUGUCUUUCUCGGCUCGUGCAGACCGCCGCCGCGCCGACGGAAGCGACGCAGGACGCGGCGCAGAAUUGUCCCGCGGAAUUUCUCCGGCGCACCGAGCGGAACCGGGAUCACGGUCCUUCCCGCGUGGGAAGUCGCGGCGAGUCCUAUUCGUUAACAGACGCGGUAACGAAGACGUUCGUAAAUCCCGUCUACGAGGACGACGAUCGAGACGAAAGCGAGAACGAGGAGAGCGAAAGCGUGCGGAGCGAAAUCACGGUCGACACCGAGAGAUAUCAAUCGAUCCUACGAUAUUUCCACUUCGAAAAUUGAUUGUCAAUAACCAGGGACAGAAAAACAAAGUGAAAAUCUGAAACGUAUGUAAAGGACUGCAGUACAAUCAAGAGAAACGAGACGAGACGUGUGAUUGAAUAAAUUACUGAGCAGCCAACAAGGACAAGUAAUAAAUGCUUUCGACGAGAAAAGUUUCUAUUUUGUUCGGGUAAGAUCAGGGAAUCAAUGCAAUUUCGAUGAGUAAAAUUCAUAAAUAGAUCCUAAAGCUUGAAAUCAUGUUAACGAAUGAUUAGAUAUAAUCAUAUUUAAUAAAAUUAAAUAUUGAAAAUCA